rnacentral:rRNA from 1 species
UUUGAUCAUUGGCUCAGGAUGAACGCUGGCUACAGGCUUAACACAUGCAAGUCGAGGGGAAAACGACGGGGAAGCUUGCUUCCCCGGGCGUCGACCGGCGCACGGGUGAGUAACGCGUAUCCAACCUGCCUCUGACUGAGGGAUGACCCGUCGAAAGUCGGCCUAAUACCUCAUGGCAUCGUCUGCGGGCAUCCAACGACGAUUAAAGAUUUCAUCGGUCAGGGAUGGGGAUGCGUCUGAUUAGCUUGUUGGCGGGGUAACGGCCCACCAAGGCUACGAUCAGUAGGGGUUCUGAGAGGAAGGUCCCCCACAUUGGAACUGAGACACGGUCCAAACUCCUACGGGAGGCAGCAGUGAGGAAUAUUGGUCAAUGGGCGAGAGCCUGAACCAGCCAAGUAGCGUGCAGGAUGACGGCCCUAUGGGUUGUAAACUGCUUUUAUGCGGGGAUAAAGUGAGGGACGUGUCCUUCAUUGCAGGUACCGCAUGAAUAAGGACCGGCUAAUUCCGUGCCAGCAGCCGCGGUAAUACGGAAGGUCCGGGCGUUAUCCGGAUUUAUUGGGUUUAAAGGGAGCGUAGGCCGUGGAUUAAGCGUGUUGUGAAAUGCAGGUGCUCAACGUCUGCACUGCAGCGCGAACUGGUCCACUUGAGUGUGCGCAACGCAGGCGGAAUUCGUCGUGUAGCGGUGAAAUGCUUAGAUAUGACGAAGAACUCCGAUUGCGAAGGCAGCUUGCGGGAGCACAACUGACGCUGAAGCUCGAAAGUGCGGGUAUCGAACAGGAUUAGAUACCCUGGUAGUCCGCACGGUAAACGAUGGAUGCCCGUUGUCAGGCUGUUUCAGCCUGGUGACCAAGCGAAAGCAUUAAGCAUCCCACCUGGGGAGUACGCCGGCAACGGUGAAACUCAAAGGAAUUGACGGGGGCCCGCACAAGCGGAGGAACAUGUGGUUUAAUUCGAUGAUACGCGAGGAACCUUACCCGGGCUUGAAUUGCAGACGAAGGCUUCAGAGAUGAAGCGGCCCUUCGGGACGUCUGUGAAGGUGCUGCAUGGUUGUCGUCAGCUCGUGCCGUGAGGUGUCGGCUUAAGUGCCAUAACGAGCGCAACCCCUUUCUUCAGUUGCCAUCAGGUGAUGCUGGGCACUCUGGAGACACUGCCACCGCAAGGUGUGAGGAAGGUGGGGAUGACGUCAAAUCAGCACGGCCCUUACGUCCGGGGCUACACACGUGUUACAAUGGCCGGUACAGAGAGUUGAUUUUGUGCAAACACGAUCUAAUCCUUAAAUCCGGUCCCAGUUCGGACUGGGGUUCUGCGAACCCGGACCCCGCGAAGCUGAAUUUCGCUAGUGAAUCGCGCGUUCGGCCAUGAGCGCGGUAAAGACGUUUCCCGGCCAUGCGCGCACUCCCC